rnacentral:rRNA from 1 species
GACGAACGCUGGCGGCGUGCUUAACACAUGCAAGUCGAACGGAAAGGCCUGUCCUUCCUUGUGUUGGACGAGUGCUCGAGUGGCGCACGGGUGAGUAGCACGUGAGUGAUCUACCCCCAACUUGGGUAUAAGCUUGUGACACUGGGUCUCUUUCCAGAUAGGACUGCAGGGGGGUGCCUGUGGUGGAGGACGAUUUUCUAGUGGUCGGGGAUGAGCUCGCGGCCUAUCAGCUUGGUGGUGGGGUAAUGGCCUACCAAGGCGGCGACGGGUAGCCGGCCUGAGAGGGUGGACGGGCACAUUGGGACUGAGAUACGGGCCAGAAUCCUACGGGAGGCAGCAGUGGGGGAUAUUGCACAAUGGGCGGAAGCCUGAUGCAGCGACGCCGCGUGGGGGAUGACGGCCUUCGGGGUGUAAACUCCUUUCGGCCGCGAGGAAGCCGCGUGGUUGGAAUGGGGGUGACGGUAGUGGGAGAAGAAGCACCGGCUAACUACGUG